CCACUUCGGGAUAAGCCUUGGAAACGGGGUCUAAUACCGGAUAUGAGCAUCUGCCGCAUGGUGGGUGUUGGAAAGUUUUUCGGUGGAGGAUGGGCUCGCGGCCUAUCAGCUUGUUGGUGGGGUGAUGGCCUACCAAGGCGUCGACGGGUAGCCGGCCUGAGAGGGCGACCGGCCACACUGGGACUGAGACACGGCCCAGACUCCUACGGGAGGCAGCAGUGGGGAAUAUUGCACAAUGGGCGAAAGCCUGAUGCAGCGACGCCGCGUGAGGGAUGACGGCCUUCGGGUUGUAAACCUCUUUCAGCAGGGAAGAAGGCUUCGGUUGACGGUACCUGCAGAAGAAGCGCCGGCUAACUACGUGCCAGCAGCCGCGGUAAUACGUAGGGCGCAAGCGUUGUCCGGAAUUAUUGGGCGUAAAGAGCUCGUAGGCGGUCUGUCGCGUCUGGUGUGAAAACCCGAGGCUCAACCUCGGGCUUGCAUCGGGUACGGGCAGACUAGAGUGCGGUAGGGGAGACUGGAAUUCCUGGUGUAGCGGUGGAAUGCGCAGAUAUCAGGAGGAACACCGAUGGCGAAGGCAGGUCUCUGGGCCGCAACUGACGCUGAGGAGCGAAAGCAUGGGGAGCGAACAGGAUUAGAUACCCUGGUAGUCCAUGCCGUAAACGUUGGGCACUAGGUGUGGGGCUCAUUCCACGAGUUCCGUGCCGCAGCUAACGCAUUAAGUGCCCCGCCUGGGGAGUACGGCCGCAAGGC
rnacentral:rRNA from 1 species